UUCUUAUCAAGAGAGAUGGAGGGACUGGCCCGAUGAAAUCUCAGCAACAGGCUAUAUCAAAGUACUGUGCUAACUCCAGCGAACGCAAUAGGCGUUUGAAAGAUGAGGA
rnacentral:ncRNA from 18 species